AUGGCCUCGAAACGGCAACAGGAGUCGGGAGCGGAGAAAAGAAAGAAGAAGAGGAAGCGUGAUGAAACUCAGGCGUCGCUUGCCGGGUCAAUGCUUAAAUAUGUUCAAGGAGGAUCUCAAGGACAGGAUGAACCAUCCAGUAGUAGUGCCAUCCCUGGACAUCAACCACCAGCCAUUGUAGACCCUGCAACAAUCCCUAGCCAAGAAGAACAAGAACCAUCAACCACCAGUUCAGGUACAGUUCCAUACACAAGUACCACUGAGAGUCCUGUCACUGAGAGACUAUCAGAAAGUGACACUGUGGAGACAUGUGUGCCCCCUUCAACCGAUCCUGCUCUUUGGCCAGCUCACAUUGUAGAUGCUGAUCGUGUUGAAAUUGUGCGGAGAGGUCCUUUUAAUGUCAGCUCUGAUUUUAAUUUUCCAAAGGGGCCUGAGUAUUUAUUUGUAACAGUAUUUUUAACCUCCUUUAACCUUAUUUAUUUGUUUAACUGUCAUGUUUGUUGUUAUUUAAUUAAACAAAUUCCACUGAGAAAUUCAAAAGUAUUAAUGUUUUUUUUUUUUUUUUUUUAAGUGGCGGGGGGGGGCACCAUAAAGCAUUUGUGCUUAGGGCACCCAAAUGGCUAGCAACGGCCCUGCACACAGACCUUAAAUUCGUUGACUCCAUUUUCCUCAUUGGUAUUCAGCACAACAGCAGGGUGUCCCUGGGGGAUUCUGCUCUAUUCUCUCGGUCUCCCUCUCAUCCACGGUAUGUGUGUAAACACUUGUCCGUCCUUCUUUUUUGGAAUGAAGGACAUCUUUGAAAAAGUGAGGGCAUUUUGGCACAACAGUGCCGAGCAUGUUAGGGUUCGGGUGAUCAUUUGGUAAUUGUGACGGUUAGGGAUAAAGGGUAAGGAGCAACAGGGAAUGUCACUGUGUGUCCUCAAAAAGACUGAAAGCCACGUGUGUGUGUGUGUGUGUGUGUGUGUGUGUGUGUGUGUGUGUGUGUGUGUGUGUGUGUGUGUGUGUGUGUGUGAAAGAUGGGAGGGGGCUAUCCUGACCCAGAGUUCAGACAGACACAAAGAAAUCUUUUGUGGUCCCACGCUCACUCUCACUGCCGGCUGCACAGAGAAGUUUUUCAGGGGAACAAAUCCAGACUGCAGUAGUUUAAUCAGUGG
rnacentral:lncRNA from 1 species